CCUACGGGAGGCAGCAGUGAGGAAUAUUGGUCAAUGGGCGCGAGCCUGAACCAGCCAAGUAGCGUGAAGGAUGACUGCCCUACGGGUUGUAAACUUCUUUUAUCAGGGAAUAAAGUGAGGCACGUGUGCCUUUUUGUAUGUACUUUAUGAAAAAGGAUCGGCUAACUCCGUGCCCGCAGCCGCGGUAAUACGGAGGAUCCGAGCGUUAUCCGGAUUUAUUGGGGUUAAAGGGAGCGUAGAGGGGUUGUUAAGUCAGUUGUGAAAGUUUGCGGCUCAACCCUAAAAGUGCAAUUGAUACUGGCAGUCUUGAGUACAGUUGAGGUAGGCGGAAGGCGUGGUGUAGCGGUGAAAUGCUUAGAUAUCACGAAGAACUCCGAUUGCGAAGGCAGCAUACUAACCUGCCACUGACGUUGAGGCACGAAAGUGUGGGUAUCAAACAGGAUUAGAUACCCUUGUAGUC
rnacentral:rRNA from 1 species